UUGAAUUUCGGGAUCUAAUUUAUCGGUCGUGCCAAUGGUAUGAACUGGUACAAUUGGUUUCUUCCUUCUGAUAAAGCGUGAUGCCAUUAACUUGGUGUUGCCGGGGAAUCAGAACUGUUACUUUAGAAAAAUUAGGUAGUUUAAAGCAGGCUUAGGCUUGAAUACAUUAGCAUGGAAUAAUGAAAUAGGACGUUUGAUCCUAUUUUGUUGGUUUCUAGGAUCGACGUAAUGAUUAAUAGGGAUAGUUGGGGGCAUUAGUAUUCAAUUGUCAGAGGUGAAAUUCUUGGAUUUAUUGAAGACUAACUACUGCGAAAGCAUUUGCCAAGGAUGUUUUCAUUAAUCAAGAACGAAAGUUAGGGGAUCGAAGACGAUCAGAUACCGUCGUAGUCUUAACCAUAAACUAUGCCGACUAGGGAUCGGAUGAUGUUAAUUUUUUAAUGACUC
rnacentral:rRNA from 1 species